rnacentral:rRNA from 1 species
CCUGGCUCAGGAUGAACGCUAGCUACAGGCUUAACACAUGCAAGUCGAGGGGCAGCAUUUUAGUUUGCUUGCAAACUGAAGAUGGCGACCGGCGCACGGGUGAGUAACACGUAUCCAACCUGCCGAUAACUCCGGAAUAGCCUUUCGAAAGAAAGAUUAAUACCGGAUAGCAUACGAAUAUCGCAUGAUAUUUUUAUUAAAGAAUUUCGGUUAUCGAUGGGGAUGCGUUCCAUUAGUUUGUUGGCGGGGUAACGGCCCACCAAGACUACGAUGGAUAGGGGUUCUGAGAGGAAGGUCCCCCACAUUGGAACUGAGACACGGUCCAAACUCCUACGGGAGGCAGCAGUGAGGAAUAUUGGUCAAUGGGCGAGAGCCUGAACCAGCCAAGUAGCGUGAAGGAUGAAGGCUCUAUGGGUCGUAAACUUCUUUUAUAUGGGAAUAAAGUUUUCCACGUGUGGAAUUUUGUAUGUACCAUAUGAAUAAGGAUCGGCUAACUCCGUGCCAGCAGCCGCGGUAAUACGGAGGAUCCGAGCGUUAUCCGGAUUUAUUGGGUUUAAAGGGAGCGUAGGUGGAUUGUUAAGUCAGUUGUGAAAGUUUGCGGCUCAACCGUAAAAUUGCAGUUGAAACUGGCAGUCUUGAGUACAGUAGAGGUGGGCGGAAUUCGUGGUGUAGCGGUGAAAUGCUUAGAUAUCACGAAGAACUCCGAUUGCGAAGGCAGCUCACUAGACUGUCACUGACACUGAUGCUCGAAAGUGUGGGUAUCAAACAGGAUUAGAUACCCUGGUAGUCCACACAGUAAACGAUGAAUACUCGCUGUUUGCGAUAUACAGUAAGCGGCCAAGCGAAAGCAUUAAGUAUUCCACCUGGGGAGUACGCCGGCAACGGUGAAACUCAAAGGAAUUGACGGGGGCCCGCACAAGCGGAGGAACAUGUGGUUUAAUUCGAUGAUACGCGAGGAACCUUACCCGGGCUUAAAUUGCAACAGAAUAUAUUGGAAACAGUAUAGCCGUAAGGCUGUUGUGAAGGUGCUGCAUGGUUGUCGUCAGCUCGUGCCGUGAGGUGUCGGCUUAAGUGCCAUAACGAGCGCAACCCUUAUCUUUAGUUACUAACAGGUUAUGCUGAGGACUCUAGAGAGACUGCCGUCGUAAGAUGUGAGGAAGGUGGGGAUGACGUCAAAUCAGCACGGCCCUUACGUCCGGGGCUACACACGUGUUACAAUGGGGGGUACAGAAGGCGGCUACCUGGUGACAGGAUGCUAAUCCCAAAAACCUCUCUCAGUUCGGAUCGAAGUCUGCAACCCGACUUCGUGAAGCUGGAUUCGCUAGUAAUCGCGCAUCAGCCAUGGCGCGGUGAAUACGUUCCCGGGCCUUGUACACACCGCC